rnacentral:rRNA from 1 species
GAUGAACGCUGGCGGCGUGCCUAAUACAUGCAAGUCGAGCGAACAGAUGAGGAGCUUGCUCCUCUGACGUUAGCGGCGGACGGGUGAGUAACACGUGGAUAACCUACCUAUAAGACUGGGAUAACUUCGGGAAACCGGAGCUAAUACCGGAUAAUAUAUUGAACCGCAUGGUUCAAUAGUGAAAGACGGUUUUGCUGUCACUUAUAGAUGGAUCCGCGCCGCAUUAGCUAGUUGGUAAGGUAACGGCUUACCAAGGCAACGAUGCGUAGCCGACCUGAGAGGUUGAGCGGCACCACGGGAGGUAGGACACGCUCCGGCCUCCUCGGGGAGGCGGCAGGGGGGAUUCUUCGGCAAGGGGCGAAAGCCGGACGGAGCAGCGCCGGGUGAGUAAGGAAGGUCUGCGGAUCGUAAAACUCUUUUAUUGGGAAAAAAAAAAUGGGAAAGUACCUAUGCACGUCUGGACGUUCCCUAAUAAGAAACCCACGGCUACCUAGGUC